GAGAGAAGAAGAUCAUGGACAGCAGUGAGCUUGUUGCAGACAGAGCGGGCAUUCCAAAGGGCACAUGAGAAGAGAGGUUUUGUUUUAGA